UAUUGGACAGUGGGCGCAAGCCUGAUCCAGCAAUACCGCGUGUGUGAAGAAGGCCUUAGGGUUGUAAAGCACUUUCAAUUGGGAGGAAAACCUGCCGGUCAAUACCCGGUAGCUUGACAUUACCUUUAGAAGAAGCACCGGCUAACUCCGUGCCAGCAGCCGCGGUAAUACGGAGGGUGCGAGCGUUAAUCGGAAUUACUGGGCGUAAAGCGUGCGUAGGCGGUUCGUUAAGUCAGAUGUGAAAGCCCUGGGCUCAACCUGGGAACUGCAUUUGAAACUGGCGGACUAGAGUUUAGUAGAGGGGAGUGGAAUUUCAGGUGUAGCGGUGAAAUGCGUAGAUAUUUGAAGGAACACCAGUGGCGAAGGCGACUCCCUGGACUAGAACUGACGCUGAGUACGAAA
rnacentral:rRNA from 1 species